AUUUGCAUUUAAAACGUAAAAAAAAAAAUUGCCAAAAGAGAAAUGCAAAAACUAAACUGAAUUUUCCGUAAAGAAUUUGAAUCACUAGGUGGCAUAUCGCGGCAGAAUGCUUCUCUCUCAUUGGUUAGAUUUUCAGAGAAGAAAGAAGGACAAAAUGGCGAAGAAAACACCAAGAAUUUGCUCAAGAAAAACAACAGAGAUGAGAAGAUCUUUUGAAUCUACACUGAAGAAAGGCACCCCAAACGGCAGAUUAGAUACAGAUAUCCACUGAACAAAUCGUCUGAAAACUAAGGCUAAUAGGAGAGGAUGAAGAAUACUUCUGUUAAAAGGUCAAUCCAACUUGAACUUGAAGUGCAAGUGGGUCUUCAAAAAUGUGGACCACUCAAGGACUUUUCUGUUGGUUGAUGAUGGACUACAAACUGAAUAUUUAACAAAGAAAUCCACUUUGGUGCUUAUUGGCUACUAAUGAUGUGAACUUGUGCAUUUAUUAUACCAAGUACUUUUACAUUUCCUUGAUGAUACUAGACUUGCUUAUACCGAAUUCAGGUUUAGUUGAUUGAUUGCAGUUCUAAGUUCCUCUCGCAACAUUAUAUCUCUCAUGUAUGAGACAUCAUUAAAUGCAGACAUUUUCUCUGUCCUCCUGUUGUGACAUGAGAGCUCGGACUUAGUUGUAAAAAUAUUUAUGAUGCAAGAGAAAAUAAAUGGCCAAGCCAAUGUAUGUAAAUGUUGAUAAUAAUAUUAAAUAUUCUUUGAUAAUUAGUGUGAGUGUGUUUUGUUUUUUCCAAUAUGAAAAUUCAGGGGGAAAAUGAGUUUUGGUUGAAAAGCUGGGCUAAAUUGUAUAAUUUAUAGUACAGUUUCUGUUGCGGAAACCUAUGGUACACCAUAUGUAUUUCAACCGUAUACGCAUACUGAAACCUUGCGUAAACCUCAAGU